GACGGCAGCACGCCGCGUGAGUGGAUGAAGGUUUUCGGAUCGUAAAGCUCUGUUGUUAGGGAAGAACAAGUACCGUUCGAAUAGGGCGGUACCUUGACGGUACCUAACCAGAAAGCCACGGCUAACUACGUGCCAGCAGCCGCGGUAAUACGUAGGUGGCAAGCGUUGUCCGGAAUUAUUGGGCGUAAAGGGCUCGCAGGCGGUUUCUUAAAUCUGAUGUGAAAGCCCCCGGCUCAACCGGGGAGGGUCAUUGGAAACUGGGGAACUUGAGUGCAGAAAAGGAGAGUGAAAUUCCACGUGUAGCGGUGAAAUGCGUAAAGAUGUGGAGGAACACCAGUGGCGAAGGCGACUCUCUGGUCUGUAACUGACGCUGAGGAGCAAAAGCGUGGGGAGCGAACAGGAUUAAAUACCCUGGUAGUCCACGCCGUAAACGAUGAGUGCUAAGUGUUAGGGGGUUUCCGCCCCUUAGUGCUGCAGCUAACGCAUUAAGCACUCCGCCUGGGGAGUACGGUCGCAAGACUGAAACUCAAAGGAAUUGACGGGGGCCCGCACAAGCGGUGGAGCAUGUGGUUUAAUUCGAAGCAACGCGAAGAACCUUACCAGGUCUUGACAUCCUCUGACAAUCCUAGAGAUAGGACGUCCCCUUCGGGAGCAGAGUGACAGGUGGUGCAUGGUUGUCGUCAGCUCGUGUCGUGAGAUGUUGGGUUAAGUCCCGCAACGAGCGCAACCCUUGAUCUUAGUUGCCAGCAUUCAGUUGGGCACUCUAAGGUGACUGCCGGUGACAAACCGAGAGGGAAGGGUGGGAGAUGACGUCAUAUCAUCCUGCCCCCUUUAUGGAC
rnacentral:rRNA from 1 species